AUUGAACGCUGGCGGCAGGCUUAACACAUGCAAGUCGAGCGGGGGAAGGUAGCUUGCUACCGGACCUAGCGGCGGACGGGUGAGUAAUGCUUAGGAAUCUGCCUAUUAGUGGGGGACAACAUCUCGAAAGGGAUGCUAAUACCGCAUACGUCCUACGGGAGAAAGCAGGGGAUCUUCGGACCUUGCGCUAAUAGAUGAGCCUAAGUCGGAUUAGCUAGUUGGUGGGGUAAAGGCCUACCAAGGCGACGAUCUGUAGCGGGUCUGAGAGGAUGAUCCGCCACUACGUGGCUGGAACACGGCCCCGACUCCUACGGGAGGCAGCAGUGGGGAAUAGUGGACAAUGGGGGGAACCCUGAUCCAGCCAGGCCGCGUGUGUGAAGAAGGCCUUAUGGUUGUAAAGCACUUUAAGCGAGGAGGAGGCUACUUAGAUUAAUACUCUGAGAUAGUGGACGUUACUCGCAGAAUAAGCACCGGCUAACUCUGUGCCAGCCGCCGCCGUAA
rnacentral:rRNA from 1 species